ensembl:lncRNA
CUCGACCAAAAGUGGGCUGAGCCUUGUUGCUGCGUGGCGAAACAGCUGUUCUCCCUGGGCUGUGGGGAAGCUGGGCCACAGGCACUUGCAGCACCUGUUUUGGAUUAAAAAAAUCCUCAAAACAAACGCGCAGGAAGAACAGCCUGCUGGGAAGUGGUGCAGCUCCCUGUACCCAUGUGCUUAAAUUGACUCACCCAGUCGUGCUAACACCAGCGUUGCCCAGUGCCUGGAUAAGAUCAGCUGGGGCAUGA